rnacentral:ncRNA from 1 species
GGAUGCAAGGUAGUAUUACCUUGCAUCCUAUGUAGCAAGUAGCA